rnacentral:lncRNA from 1 species
CAUCCUCUGAGUGAGGCUUUCCACCCUGUCCUUGAACGGCAGGGGACCAGGGGACUCGCCUUAUAGGCUAGACUUUCUAUGUGUAUCCCAUUGUCCCCAAGGGCAGUAGGGAGUGGCUAAAGGUGUCUUGGAAGCAGGGGCUGCAUCCCUGUUCUUCAAGACCCUCUGUGCCCUCCACUUGUUCUGCAGGGUACACAUGGGGAGUGUCGGGGGCAAAGGAGACUCAGGGCAGCCAAGUUUCUGAGAAUAUGGGUGUCUGUGAGUGAGGAUCUUGGAGUGUGGGGAGCCUGGGAAUGGGGGGAUGCCUGGGAGGGAGGCUCUGGGAAUGGGGUAUCCUGGGAGGAUGCAUGGGAUCUGGAGUCCAGAGAGAAAGUAAGAGAUACCCUGUGGCUAAUACCGUAAGGCAUUCGACAGCAUGAAGUGCUCGAGGUGGGGAUAGGGGUGCAGAGACCUUCUUCCUAGGGAGGUGCUGACAGACGAGCCUGUAGGGAGGAAGAGGGUCUCAUAUGCCUGUGGGAGUCUGUGUUGGGUGGGCUUAUGGGGCUGUGACCUUGACUCUUGUUCUCCCUCUGGAUUAGGGUCUUGGUUUUCCUGGAGACCCUGGCCCCCCAGGAGAAGGUGGCUCAUGACCAGGACAGUGUUAAGGGUGACUAUGGCAAGAAUGGUGAGCCAGUACAGCCUGUGAGUGACCAAUGUCCCUGCCACCCCCACUGAGCUCCAGCCUUCAGCCCCUUACCCCUGUCUUCUGUGCCCUACUCCUGAGGGGUCCCUUGGCUGGAGGCCAACACUCACCCACCCCAAUUCCUCUUGUUCUGUGGAUCCUGUGGUCCCACUGGGGAGAAUGGACUACCUGGACCACAUGGAAAGCAGGUAAGUGAGGUAGAAGACCCUGGGACCUUGGGAGGUAGUCCCUGGGAAAUGUGGGUAGAGGCUGGGUGGU